CCGUAGCUCAGAGGAUAAAGCGUCUGCCUCCGGAGCAGAAGAUCGUUGGUUCGAAUCCAAUCGG
rnacentral:tRNA from 1 species